CUUUGAACAGGCCGAUAUAUAAAUUAUUAUUUUUAUUAUUAUUUUUUUUUAUUUGUAGUUGGUGUUUUUAAAUGUAUAUUUGCUCAUUGUAAAACGUAGUUAUUUAUUAAUAAUAAUAAAAAAUUGUUCUUAAGUGAACUCGAGUGGGCAGCCAAUCACCGCGCGGCGUCUGAUCGUCCUCAGGCGCGCGCUCAGCAGCACAGCGCACAUUCACGCGCGGAUCGCAGCGAGCGUCGCGUCGUCCCGCGCCUCUCAUUCCCGCGGAUGUCUAACACAAACAUGUUUCUCUAGAUACUGACAGAAAGAAGAAAAAGAAAGAGGCGUCAUUCAGCUGCAUCAAGAGAGACUCGGAGCGACUCGGAGCGAGCGACACUGACGUGGGAUCAGAGCUCUGGAGGGCCAGCAGAGGGCAAAGG